rnacentral:lncRNA from 1 species
CAAGGCCUUGAGAAUUUCCUUACUCUUUUAUACAUCUAGCACAUUUAUUGAGUGAGUGUGCAGUAAUUUGGUGGAUUUACUAAGUAACUUGACAGUUAAUGGGAUACAUCUGCAGUAGAUUCAAAAAUAACUGGCUGCUUAGAAAUAUAGAAUAGAUUAGCAUUCUUGUUCCUUUCAGUUCGUUCGAGAAUGUCAUAUUUGCUUUAACUGCAGAGAAGUCAAGGUUCUGUUAAAGAUCUAUAUACCCUGAGAUUCACUACCAACUAUAAUAAUUAGACCUGACUCUUCCUUAACUGCUAUUAUAUUAAAAAAAUGUUAUUUAUUUUUAUCCAAAGGAUCUAAGAAAUUACAUUAAACAACACAGAGAAAACAUACAUAUACCUGGAUCUACACAGUGACUUUAUGAGAUUUGAGAGCAUUAGAGAAACCCCAGCCACUGAAGAGAGAGUCCAGACCUCCUUUUCUGCAGACAAAUUGGCUGCUUCUCAUCAGUGAUCCAUACUCAUGUGUUUCCUCAUACCUACAAAAAGAAGAAUAGAAACAUCAACAUCCUUCAUCUGGUGCACCAUAAUCUAUGUCUGGGAACACUUUGGUACUCAGAGAUGGAGGUUCACUCCACUGGGGAAAGAAAUCUCUAAGAGGAAAACCCAAAUGAGCAAUCUUAAACAGUGGAGUCUCCUGUCUCUUCAGCAGGCGCAAAUCACAGAAGUGAAAUGA